UACGAAGGGGGCUAGCGUUGUUCGGAAUUACUGGGCGUAAAGGGCGCGUAGGCGGUGGAUCAAGUCAGGCGUGAAAGCCCCGGGCUCAACCUGGGAACCGCGCUUGAGACUGGUGCGCUAGAGUUCGGGAGAGGAUGGUGGAAUUCCCAGUGUAGAGGUGAAAUUCGUAGAUAUUGGGAAGAACACCGAUGGCGAAGGCAGCCAUCUGGACCGACACUGACGCUGAGGCGCGAAAGCGUGGGGAGCAAAC
rnacentral:rRNA from 1 species